AUUGAACGCUGGCGGCAGGCUUAACACAUGCAAGUCGGGCGAGCGGCGGACGGGUGAGUAAUGUAUGGGGACUGCCUGAUGGCGGGGGAUCACUACUGGAAACGGUAGCUAAUACCGCAUACUAUAAGAUAACCCAUAUGGGAUUAGCGAGUAGGUAAGGUAACGGCUAACCGGGGCGACGAUCCCUAGCUGGUCUGAGAGGAGGAUCAGCCACACUGGGACGGAUACGCGGCCCAAACUCUUCCGGAGGAUGCAUUGGGAAAUAUGGCACAAUGAGCGAAAGCCUGAUGCAGCCAUUCCCCGGGUAUGUAUAAGGCCUUGGGGUUGUAAGGUACUUUCAGUGGGGAGGCGUUACCGACAGAGGAAGCACCGGCUAACUCCGUGCCAGCAGCCGCGGUAAUUC
rnacentral:rRNA from 1 species